AACGAACGCUGGCGGCAUGCCUAACACAUGCAAGUCGAACGGGACCUUCGGGUCUAGUGGCGCAGGGGUGCGUAACGCGGGGGAACCUGCCCUUAGGUUCGGAAUAACUCCCCGAAAGGGGUGCUAAUACCGGUUAAUGUCUUCGGACCAAAGAUGUAUCGCCUUUGGCUGGGCCCGCGUUGGGUUGGCGAGUUGGUAGGGGAAAACCCUACCCAGGAGACGGUGCAUAGCUGGUCGGAGAGGAUGAUCAGCCACGCUGGGACUGAGACACGGCCUAGACCCGGACGGGAGGCAGCAGAGUGGUAUAUUGGACGCGGAGCGAUAGCCUGAUCCAGCAACGCGGGGGGAGUGAGGAAGGGCGUAGUGUUGUAAAGCUCUUUGACCCGGGAUGAUAAUGACAGUACCGGGAGAAUAAGCACCGGCUAACUCCGUG
rnacentral:rRNA from 1 species